UAWUAUUUUUUCAAAGAUAAGAAUAUGGAGUAAAAAAUUUUUUUUUUUUUUUGAAAUGAAAUAAAAAAGAUAUAAUAACAUUAGCAACAAGAGGAACAAGUUAUAUUUCGACAAUUUUAAAGAAAUACAAAAUUAAAAUGGAAUACUCAAUCCUGAAUAAAUGCAGGUAAAUAACCUCUCCUUCKUUUUCUAUAAUGUAAACAAAAAAGUAUAUGUAAGUAAAAUACUAGUAAAUUAAUAAAUAAAAAGAAAAAAAGAAAGGAGCAAUAGCACCCUCUUGAUAGACCAAGAAAAUGAUUAUUGCUCCKUUCUUUUCAAAAC
rnacentral:misc_RNA from 1 species